GUUGCCCAGCUAUGCAACCCAAGAGGGGGGGGUGAAUUGGGUUUCUAAAAAAUUUUAAGCCCAACAGAUUACUUAUGAAGAUCAAAACAAAGACUUUAAUUCAAUAUUAAUUACCUAAAGACGAAAUGCAAGAAUAUAAUAAAGAAAUAAAGUGAAGAGAUAAAGCACACCACAAACACAAGGAUUUAUAGUGGUUCGGUGCUAACCUUGCACCUACAUCCACUCCCCAAGAUCCUACUUGGGAAUUUCAAUCCACUAUCCUUUGUAUUCAACCCGAAUACAAAACGUCGGAAACUCCGACACUAGCUAUCCCAAGCUAGAACACUUGUUUCCCGGGUACAAGUAAACCCAAAACACUCCGAUUUCAGGUUCGGAUCAACCUUUCCUUGUUUUGGAAAUCCUCCAAAAACAAGAACAAAAACUCACAAAGAGUUAGAAAAUUUAGAGCACAAAUUAAUACAAUAACAGCUCCUUUAAAUGAGCGAAUAUAACAAUAAAAGCUUUACG
rnacentral:lncRNA from 1 species